rnacentral:rRNA from 1 species
UACGAAGGUGGCAAGCGUUGUUCGGAUUUACUGGGCGUACAGGGAGCGUAGGCGGUUGGAUAAGCCCUCCGUGAAAUCUCCAGGCUUAACCUGGAAAGUGCAGAGGGGACUGUUCAGCUAGAGGAUGGGAGAGGAGCGCGGAAUUCCCGGUGUAGCGGUGAAAUGCGUAGAGAUCGGGAGGAACACCGGUGGCGAAGGCGGCAUCCUGGACCAAUAUUGACGCUGAGGAGCGAAAGCCAGGGGAGCAAACGGG